AUCUACCGCACACAAUCUAGACACGUUCCCCGGAAUGGACAGCAUCGGGCACGAGCCGGUUCACCCGUUCGCAGGACAGCCACAGUUCACCUGCAACGAUCUGAAGCGACCACCCAAGUUGUUGAAGCUUCCAACGGGAACGUGCUUUGGGUUCGGCGGCAAGCUGGUCACGUUCAACGGAACGAGUCGCACCGCACCAUGGUCACGUACCUGUUGGUGAUGCUGUACCGCUGUAUGUGCACCCGGAUCUACGCCGAGUAGCGAGCCAGCUGGACCGCGGACAGUAAAAACGAGCAGGAACCAAAUUAGCAACAUCGCGUCUUGGAAGGCGUUGCCAUCCAGGUCAACAACCACCGCGUCGAGUAUCUCGUAACGGACGAAACAUGAUUGCCAGUUCCUGUUUACAAGGUCACUUUAAAAUUUGGGACGUCACGAAUGGCGAACUGAUGGCGGAAAUCCACCGUAACAACUACUUUGACAUGCAACUCAAGGAGGGCCAACGAUGGCCAAGGGGACCUGUGCUGAUCAAAGGCAAACCCUCCAACACGAACAUCACCAGAAUGCAGGAAAUCUACCCCAAACAGUACCCCACGAGCUUCGCCUACAGGCUGAAAAAGAAGCUUCAGUUCAACUUCACCAGUCCAAACAAAGCCAAGAACCGAAAUCCGGCAAGGAUCCGUCCCUCUUUGACUUUGCGGCACAGUACGUGAAGGUGUUUACCAGCGAUCCGGCGAACUCACAGAAACGACUCAGCAAUGGCGGAUUGUGAGCGGAGCUCCGAAACCGCUUCCUCUCGUCUUUCGGUCUAAAUAUGAUGCGACCACCGUGCAGCUGCGACAAAACCACAACGAAGAAACGUCCCAACGACCUAGCAGCAGUACGGCGCGCAAGAAAUCCUACCAAACCUCGCCGAUCUGGUGUCUGGACUUUCUGGAUAAUCUCAUCGUGAUCGGGUGCGCCGACGGGUGGCUCGAGUUCUGGGACGGCACCACCGGCAACUUGAAGGGCAUCUACGAGACGGAGCACACCCCCAACAACGAGGUCACCAACAUCAAGCUGACCGGGGACAAGGUUGUGGCGGCCCGGCUCAGUGGCCGCAUCGACUUCCUGCGGCUCGAAACAUAGACUCAGGGUCGGCAGAUCGACUGGGGAUUUACGUCCGCGUACCGGCGCACGCACAUUCGCACCGGUUCGGCGGGUAGCUUAAGCAUGUUCCAGCAGCCGAACGGUCCGGCCAGCGUUCAUCACGCCUCGGAGGAGGAGCUGCGCUGCAUCCUGAAGUUUCACCAGCAGGG